CUUUUCUACUUGACCUUUCCACUUUGUUUUUCACCUUCCCUGCUGUGCGAUUUUCUCCCUCUUCAUCGUUCCCCCUUUUGCUGCCAAAUCUUUGCUCUUUCUUCGCAGAAUAGUCUUAGAAGAGAUCCUGACUUUAAUUUUAUUUUGGAUUUGGUUUCGGGUCUUCUCCGGUGUGCAACCUGUGUUUUGUUUCCGGUCUUCUCCGGUGACGAACCCUUUGUUGGUCAGCGUUUUGUUCUCAUCUUGCCAUCGGCGGGAUCAAAAUUUUAAGGUAGUCAAGGUUUUGUCGAAACUGACAACAACGUUUUGUCGAAGCUUAUAAAAUUGGUUUCGAGCGUUCGUGGCCGUUGGUGCUUAGAAUUUCAGAGUGUUGACUCUUUUCGUCGGCGAUCCCGGAGUUGGGACUGAGCACGGCGUGCCUUUAAAUUAUCGUCGGGCAAAUUGUAUUGAACUCUGUGAGUUGUAGCGGUUUGUUGAGAAUUUGUCGGCUAAGGCAUAUUUUGUGUUUGGCUUCCUCUACUGACAAGUCUGAGAAUUCGCAUGAGCUGGAACGCUACUGUUGGUUUGGCAUAACCAGCUUUUCUGUAUAGCAUGGCCUCCAAUCAUCAUUCAUUUGAAGAUUUUGCAAGCAGCGGUUGCAUGGGAAGCAGGGAAGCUGUUGGUGAUGGAGAGGGUGAAGGUUGCUCCAUCUAAGGCCAUGGAAAUGAGGAUAAAGGUCAAAUAUACCUCAGUUUAUCACACUGAACUCUACUUCUGCCGAAGGCACAUUUACUUCGAGUGAAUACAUUGAUGUUCAUUCUGGCCGUCUUUCCAAAAUCAAGCCCCUUGCUCAGUUGGACAAAGUUUGCAUCCUUAGUUGUGCCAUACCAACAGGUUUGGGUUCCCCUCUCAAUGUUAGCAAAAUGAAAAAUUAUCCUCAGUGUUGUUUAUUGGCCUCGCUGCUACUAAAGGUGGAAAAAUUUCUGAGGCGCCAGAGUAUUGGGGUGGAGUCGAUGGACUUGAAGCCCAAGAGGUUUGACGAAGUCUACAAUGUACAUACAGCUAAGGAAAAGACCGAGACAUCAACCAGUGCAGAAGCUCCUGAUAGGACUAAUUGCAGAUAGCACUACAAAUGAGCACUACAAUUUUAAGCUUGAUGUUGCAAGAGAAAAAUUUUGGACAAAGCAAAAAAUAACAUGAUGACCAAGAAAAAGAUGGUCAUUCCCAAACAAGCAUGACCAAAAGAUUGACCAGGAAAAAUCAUAAACACUGAGCAGAUGUGUGGUGCCAAGCUUCUGAUAUGGACAUGAAUAUUUUUCGUAUUUGAACGAUUUUGAUCUUAUGAAUUUUUGUACAUGAAUAUAGCUUUAUAACAGUGAGGAAUUGCACACUGCCAAUCUCUAUCUUAGGUAUAUAAAUCUAACUUCAAUAAAUUCUGUUUUAUGUAUGUACAUAUUAUCAAAAUAUUUUAAACACCCGCAACAACGCGCAGACACUUUUGCUAGUCUGACACUAAAAGGCUAUCAUAAAACAAAUGGCACAAAUAAAUGAUAAAAUGCAAAAUAAGAAGGUGUGGAUUAACAUCGUGUUUGUCUAGCCACGUGGAGUUGGUUUAAGAUUAUGGUGCUUCUAAAAAAAACAGCUGAUUAAAAAUUUGGAGCAACACAACAAAUAUGUUUGGAAAAAAUAAAAAAAAUAAAAAAUUUUCUAAAAAAUGUAGUCAAUGAUAGUAGAAAAGUAGAAGCAGGGUCUAACAUGCUUCUAAAAAAGGUUUUUUUUUUUUUU